UUGUGCGGCGCCGCCUGGUCCCUGGUCCGUGGACGCCCGCGUCCUUUUGUCCCUUUCACGGCACGGCGUCCUGUCCCUAGGUCCGCACAGAAUCUUUCCUGUGGGCUCCAUUCUGUGCUCAGAUUAUCUCCGUCGCCUCCAAGAGUCUCUCUGGUGGAGGAGUGGGUGGAGCCGUUGACCAAAUGAAACGAUUGGAGCAGAACAGUCCCAGGUGCUGUUCCAUGGCUGAUGCUUGGCUUCUCACUUGUCUUCUGAUCAACACUGAAGAACAUCUGCCAAACCAUAAUCUUGGUUACCAUUGUCGAGGAUGACGUCAGUGCCUACAAUAUUUCUAAUGUAAAACCAUCUCCAAGGCCUGUAUUUUCAUGUGAGGUGUUCAUUUCGUUGGCAAUUUAUUAAUGGCACUGUUUACAUUUGCUCUUAGAUGUGUUGCUGUAAUUAAAAUAACUCCUGAAUGUAUCACUUGAGCCCAGAAGAACGAAUAAAGGCUUUACAUGAUGGAA